rnacentral:lncRNA from 1 species
UACACUUUUUACAAUCUCUUCUGAAACAAAACAAAGCAGAAAUUAAACUUAAUUCACAGAUCUUACAAAAUAACAGAAUUUGGGAUUAACUAUAUAGCUAAUUAAUAUUACAAAAACAUUAAUUAAUAAUAUGAAACUAAAUCUCGAAAAGGAAAAAAAUCACUCUCUCCGUUAAUUCUUGCAGACAAAAAGAGAGAGAGAGAGAGAGAUCUGUAUUAUAUUUAUCAUUAAAAAGAAAGAAAGAAGGAAAGAAAUUACUUGUUUUGUAUGGGAUUAGAAACACUUGGAGGUGCUUUCCUUAAGCUUUGCUCCACAGCUUUCUUGGCCUCUUUUACUGCUCCAUUAUUACUAAUUAUCGAUCUUCUGUUAGAAGCCAUUAAUGGAAGUAACUUCAAUAGCUUUCUUGGCAGAUUAAUAUUUCUUUGAUGAUAUAUGGGAACGCCAUUGCUAUAAUUGGCAGUGCUUUCUUCACGGCAAAGACAUAAAGAAUUGGUUGUAAUUCCGAUGUGAACAAGAACCAGAAAGGCCAAAAUGAUCUUCAUUGAAAUGAUUACUCAGUGAAGUGAAAGAAUACCGUGAAGGACAGAGAAAGAUUGAGAAGAAGGUGUAAAAGAUGGAAUAGGUUUAUAUGGGCAACGUGCAUGCGUGUUUGAUCCACGUGGUAUAUGAUGAGCUCCUCUCCUCAUCAUAUCAUAUCAUAUAAUAUAUAUUUUUCCAUUUAAAGAAUAAUUAUAAUUUUUUCAUUUUGUUACCAAUUUUAGGAGUUUGGCAUUAGUAACAUUUUAUUUUAAGGGUAUUUCUAUAUCCU